rnacentral:lncRNA from 1 species
UACGACAUUAAAAUUAAAUGCAGAAUUUCAUCCCUUACAUAAAUAUACAAUCAGGAGUAUAUUGAGGAAAAUACAAUUAUCCUCUUUCUUUUUAAGGUUCUAGAUACAUACAAAAUACACAAUUCUAGCCCCAACAAAAUACAAGCAAAAUACUUUUUCUUCAUUUCCUAAUCCUCUCGAAAGGGAUUCAAAUAAGGUUUAGUUGGGAGUCUUGUCAUAUCAUCGGAGGAGGGAGGUGAUUAGGGUGAAUUCCAAAUACUCAGAACAACAGUAAUAAAAUAACAUAAAUACCAUUUUAAAAACGUAUCUAUGCAAUUAUUUCUCAUAAAUCACUAAGCAAUUAAAACCACUAUUUUUCCCUUUUUUCAUAUUUACACAUGGUUACAUCAAUUUAUGCUUGAGUGCACACAUCUCACAUCUUAUCACAGUAUGGAUCCUUAAUGCGCUCAAUACUAUAUUCAAUCACUUAACAUCAUUACAUAAGACUCAACUGGACUCUUCUUUAAAGUUAUUAAUUAUCAAUUAUUAUCCUUGAUUUAAAUUUCACCAUUUUCACACCAUCGUGCAAAGACUCUCAAACCUAUUCCAAAGAGGGCAUAAGGGAUACCAACUAUGAAUGGGGUAACACAUAAACAAAUUAACACAUUAUCAUAUUGGUCUAGCUUCCCAUAAGAAAUCAAGUAUACAUAAGCCCAUUCAUAGGAUAAUAGUUCUGAAACAUCUUAAACACACAACCCCUUAAAGGAAACUAGUUUAGCGAUUUUGACUGGACACUUUGUUAUUUUUAUUAGACAUUAAGGUAUUUAUUUCUUAGCUUUCCUACCUAACAAUUGGCUUUAAAAUAUUAUCUAAAUUUCUUCCUAAUUACUUUUUUGAAGCCUUACUUUUACUUAGAUCAUUUUACCCCUAGUUAUAUUUUACCAUUUUAAUUCUUUUGUCAGCAUAUCUUUCCCCUAAUUUAUCCAUAAUUCACGAAACUCAUUUCGUAAGGCCUUUUGUUUACUUAAGCCCCUUUUUUAAUUUUUUUUAUGUUCAUGUUGUUUUUCUCAAUCUUAAAUAUUUUUGUCAUUUUUCCAAAUCUCCUCUUGUUAAAAAAUUUUAUUUGAAUUUUACAUGUCAAUCUCUUAAUUUGAUUUCUCAUUUUAAAUUAUAAUUUUUAAAUUUUCUUUUCAAAUUUCUCAUUUUGCCCACAAUAGUGGGAUUUCCCCUCGAACCCAUACACCCGACACACAAGUGCAAAAACUCAUGAGGAGCCUCUUGGUGUAUACAUGCUUGAUAGUCUCACACGGCUCGCUAGUUUGCCACGCGGAGCAACAUGUAUUGCGAGGCAUGUGGCUCGACAUUAUGGGCUGCCCUAGCAAAUGUCCUUUCAUGCACCUCGGUCAUGGCGACCAUGUUCACUCGCAGACCCUCUCAGCACACAAGGCGCUUAUCAGAGUCCUUCUCACUUGCGCGCAGUGAGCUGCACGUACACAACGCGCUGGGUGCAUUUCCCAACAUACUUGGGUGCCUGGCAAUGUCUUGCGCGCACAUCAUGAAUGGCAUGACCAUGUUCUACCUUUUUCUAGUACUUUGGUGCCUAUAUAGCAUAGGACAAAGGCUACCGACCUCUUCUUUUGAUCUGUGCUCAUUUUGAUAUGUUUUUUGCAUCUGUUACUCAUUAAACAUCAUCAUUUAAUCAUCAUAAACAACUUACACAAAAAAUUAAACACAGAAAACUCAUUAAAUCAAAAUAAAGUGCAUGGACACACUCACCCUCCACUGUCAAGUUAAAAUCGAAGCCUUUUCAUGAUUUUUGGAAGAUUCUUACCAAUUUAAUGCUUCUAAAAAUCCUAUUACUUGCGUCAAUUAGAUUAUUGAAGUUCUUACCUUCUUGAAGACUCAAUUUUGGGCCUAAAUGCAUGAGAGAAUAUGAGUUUCUAAAUGGGAAAUCAACUACAACUCAAGGAGGUUGUCAUUGCAAAAUAAAGACUAUUUUUGUGCUUAUUUAUGGUUUUUGAAAUAGGAAAUCACCGUAGAAAAUUAUUUACAAGAGUUUUAAGUUAAGGCUUACCUAUUUAAAACUUAAAACCGAAAGAGAGGACUCGGUUACCUAAAAUAGGUUGUGUGAGCAUUCCUGGGCAGAACUGAGCUUUUAUUUAAAGAAGUAUGAGUUUUUAAGCUCUAACUAAAAGAGGAUGAAUGAGUAAGUGAAUUGGAAGUCAAAAACAUAAGAAACUAUAGAAGAGCUAACCUAAUUCGAAAGAGAAGUGUCGUUGCAGAACAACAACCCGACCUGUACAGCCUUUGUCAUUCACUUCCUCUCUCUCUCUCUCUCUCUCUAUCUAGUUCUUACUCUCUCUAGUCAAUAAAAAAUGAAGAAGAAGAGCAAAGAGAUGUAGUUUUAAAUGGAAUUUCAGGGAGAUUCUAGCCUUCGAAUGCAUAUGAUCCAAGUCGUUGAUGGUGGUUGGUGGCCAACCAUUUUGGAUAAGGGAGUUAAUUGGUAGCCACUUUGUGGGAGAAAGAAGGGAACUCGCCUGUCACACAAGAACUCAGUGUUAGUGGCAUCCCAUUAGGAAACAGUGUAGGGAAACUGACUUACAUGCCCAAAGGGAUGUCCAUGGUAGGGAGUGCCCUGCCUGCGAGUUCACUAGUGCUAUGUUCCCCUUGCUCGCAUGGAUAGGCAUGCGUGAGGGAAAUUUUUCACGUGAGGUUGCUUGCUAAUGGGAAGUGGUGCUACAAAACAUAGCUUGUGCAUGUAUGUCUGCAAUUGGGGCACUUUUAUAAGCCUACACGCAGAUGCUGUGCGUUAGGGUUGCCCGCGAGUGGGGGAUUUUCUGUCCAAUUAAUGUGGGUCAAGUAGGGCAAAUUCUAGGU